rnacentral:ncRNA from 1 species
UACCUUAUUGAUUCUGUUAGCGCUAAAUGUUCAGCUAAAAGACUGAGCUAUGCAUAUAGAGUUCAACUUUGAAAUCAAACUGCGAACGAGUCAUAAUAGCUAAUGAAAUUUUUUAGGAAUUGCUUGGAUCGAUUAUUGCGGUAAUUUUGGAGUUGAUACAUGCAACAAAAGUUUUGUUUUGUUCUACAAAUUUGCAAAAUUGGAAUAACGCAGCAUAUUCUAAGAAGUGGCUACCCUAUUAACCUCAUAGUAGUCCAUUCGUCUACUAUAGUUAUUACGGCUAACGGAGAGGGAGCGACAGAAACGCUGCCACAUCGAAAGAAGACAGCAGGCGCAAAACUUAUCCAAUCUUGAAGACAUGAGGUAGUUACUAGAAAUCAAAGGAUCAUUACUAUGGAACUGUCAUCUCAAUAAGUUAAUCAUAAACUUUUUCGAAUAUCUAGGAGGCAAGUCUGCCAUAAUUCCAAUUCCACUAAUGUAAAUCGUUAUUGCUGCGGUGAAAAAGCUCGUAGUUGGAUAUGAGUUACAUGUAAUGGUUCGCCUUUGGCGUUAUCGUGUGUAUAUGCCUUUUUUCUACCAGAGUUUCGACCUUUUUAGUGACCAGUGAGUUUGCCUUGAAUAAAUUAGAAUGCUCAAAACAAGUGCUUGCUUAAAUCGCUGAUCAUGAAAUAAUACAAGAUGACUUCAGUUCUAUUAAUCAAUUCAAAAACAGGAAUAAUGUUUGAGAUAGACAAUUCGGGGCAUUCGUAUCCCUGCGCGAGUGCCGAAAUUUGUGAACGUAAACUAUGCCAUCUAGCAGUUCGAUGGGGUACUAAUAAUAAGGCGUUGUCAGGCAGCUUCCAAGACGCGAAAGU